rnacentral:rRNA from 1 species
GAUGAACGCUGGCGGCGUGCCUAAUACAUGCAAGUCGAGCGAACAGACGAGGAGCUUGCUCCUCUGACGUUAGCGGCGGACGGGUGAGUAACACGUGGAUAACCUACCUAUAAGACUGGGAUAACUUCGGGAAACCGGAGCUAAUACCGGAUAAUAUAUUGAACCGCAUGGUUCAAUAGUGAAAGACGGUUUUGCUGUCACUUAUAGAUGGAUCCGCGCCGCAUUAGCUAGUUGGUAAGGUAACGGCUUACCAAGGCAACGAUGCGUAGCCGACCUGAGAGGGUGAUCGGCCACACUGGAACUGAGACACGGUCCAGACUCCUGCGGGAGGCAGCAGUAGGGAAUCGUCCGCAAUGGGCGAAAGCCUGACGGAGCAACGCCGCGUGAGUGAUGAAGGUCUUCGGAUCGUAAAACUCUGUUAUUAGGGAAGAACAAAUGUGUAAGUAACUAUGCACGUCUUGACGGUACCUAAUCAGAAAGCCACGGCUAACUACGUG